CACGUAGGGUGCGAGCGUUGUCCGGAAUUAUUGGGCGUAAAGAGCUCGUAGGCGGUGUGUCGCGUCGGCCGUGAAAACCUGUGGCUUAACUGCGGGCUUGCGGUCGAUACGGGCAUCACUGGAGUUCGGCAGGGGAGACUGGAAUUCCUGGUGUAGCGGUGAAAUGCGCAGAUAUCAGGAGGAACACCGGUGGCGAAGGCGGGUCUCUGGGCCGUAACUGACGCUGAGGAGCGAAAGCGUGGGGAGCGAACAGG
rnacentral:rRNA from 1 species